AUUGAACGCUGGCGGUAGGCCUAACACAUGCAAGUCGAGCGAGCGGCGGACGGGUGAGUAAUGUCUGGGAAACUGCCUGAUGGAGGGGGAUAACUACUGGAAACGGUAGCUAAUACCGCAUACCAUCAGAUGUGCCCAGAUGGGAUUAGGUAGUUGGUGGGGUAAUGGCCUACCAAGCUGACGAUCUCUAGCUGGUCUGAGAGGAUGACCAGCCACACCGGGACUGAGAGACGGCCCGGACUCCUACGGGAGGCAGCAGUGGGGAAUAUUGCGCAAUGGGGGCAACCCUGACGCAGCCAUGCCGCGUGAAUGAAGAAGGCCUUCGGGUUGUAAAGUUCUUUCGGUAGUGAGGCGUUAAAUACAGAAGAAGCACCGGCUAACUCCGUGCCAGCAGCCGCGGUAAUAC
rnacentral:rRNA from 1 species